CAACAGGGAUUGCUCUAGUAACGGCGAGUGAAGCAGCAAUAGCUCAAAUUUGAAAUCUGGCGUCUUCGACGUCCGAGUUGUAAUUUGUAGAGGAUGCUUCUGAGUAACCACCGACCUAAGUUCCUUGGAACAGGACGUCAUAGAGGGUGAGAAUCCCGUAUGCGGUCGGAAAGGUGCUCUACACGUAGCUCCUUCGACGAGUCGAGUUGUUUGGGAAUGCAGCUCUAAAUGGGAGGUAAAUUUCUUCUAAAGCUAAAUAUUGGCCAGAGACCGAUAGCGCACAAGUAGAGUGAUCGAAAGAUGAAAAGCACUUUGGAAAGAGAGUUAAAAAGCACGUGAAAUUGUUAAAAGGGAAGGGAUUGCAACCAGACUUGCUCGCGGUGUUCCGCCGGUCUUCUGACCGGUCUACUCGCCGCGUUGCAGGCCAGCAUCGUCUGGUGCCGCUGGAUAAGACUUGAGGAAUGUAGCUCCCUCGGGAGUGUUAUAGCCUCUUGUGAUGCAGCGAGCGCCGGGCGAGGUCCGCGCUUCGGCUAGGAUGCUGGCGUAAUGGUCGUAAUCCGCCCGUCUUGAAACACGGACCAAGGAGUCUAACAUCUAUGCGAGUGUUCGGGUGUCAAACCCCUACGCGUAAUGAAAGUGAACGGAGGUGAGAACCGCAAGGUGCAUCAUCGACCGAUCCUGAUGUCUUCGGAUGGAUUUGAGUAUGAGCAUAGCUGUUGGGACCCGAAAGAUGGUGAACUAUGCCUGAAUAGGGUGAAGCCAGAGGAAACUCUGGUGGAGGCUCGCAGCGGUUCUGACGUGCAAAUCGAUCGUCAAAUUUGGGUAUAGGGG
rnacentral:rRNA from 1 species